GAUCGGAGUCUGCAACCCGACUCCGUGAAGCUGGAUUCGCUAGUAAUCGCGCAUCAGCCAUGGCGCGGUGAAUACGUUCCCGGGCCUUGUACACACCGCCCGUCAAGCCAUGGGAGUCGGGAGUGCCUGAAGUUCGUGACCGUCACAGGAGCGACCUAAGGCAAGACCGAUGACUGGGGCUAAGUCGUAACAAGGUAAC
rnacentral:rRNA from 1 species